GCGGCGUGCUUAACACAUGCAAGUCGAACGAAGCACUUUACCGGAUUUCUUCGGGAUGAAAGUUUUGUGACUGAGUGGCGGACGGGUGAGUAACGCGUGGGUAACCUGCCUCAUACGGGGGGAUAACAGUUAGAAAUGACUGCUAAUACCGCAUAAGACCACAGGAUUGCAUGAUCCGGUGGUAAAAACUCCGGUGGUAUGAGAUGGACCCGCGUCUGAUUAGGUAGUUGGUGGGGUAACGGCUCACCAAGCCGACGAUCAGUAGCCGACCUGAGAGGGUGACCGGCCACAUUGGGACUGAGACACGGCCCAAACUCCUACGGGAGGCAGCAGUGGGGAAUAUUGCACAAUGGGGGAAACCCUGAUGCAGCGACGCCGCGUGAGCGAUGAAGUAUUUCGGUAUGUAAAGCUCUAUCAGCAGGGAAGAAAAUGACGGUACCUGACUAAGAAGCACCGGCUAAAUACGUGCCAGCAGCCGCGGUAAUACGUAUGGUGCAAGCGUUAUCCGGAUUUACUGGGUGUAAAGGGAGCGUAGACGGAGAGGCAAGUCUGAUGUGAAAACCCGGGGCUCAACCCCGGGACUGCAUUGGAAACUGUUUUUCUAGAGUGUCGGAGAGGUAAGUGGAAUUCCUAGUGUAGCGGUGAAAUGCGUAGAUAUUAGGAGGAACACCAGUGGCGAAGGCGGCUUACUGGACGAUGACUGACGUUGAGGCUCGAAAGCGUGGGGAGCAAACAAGAUUACAUUCCCUGGUAGUCCACGCCGUAAACGAAGACUGCUAGGUGUCGGGAGGCAAAGCCUUUCGGUGCCGCAGCAAACGCAAUAAGCAGUCCACCUGGGGAGUACGUUCGCAAGAAUGAAACUCAAAGGAAUUGACGGGGACCCGCACAAGCGGUGGAGCAUGUGGUUUAAUUCGAAGCAACGCGAAGAACCUUACCUGCCCUUGACAUCCGGCUGACUGGCGAGUAAUGUCGCCUUUCCUUCGGGACAGCCGAGACAGGUGGUGCAUGGUUGUCGUCAGCUCGUGUCGUGAGAUGUUGGGUUAAGUCCCGCAACGAGCACAACCCUUAUCUUUAGUAGCCAGCAUUUCGGAUGGGCACUCUAGAGAGACUGCCAGGGAUAACCUGGAGGAAGGUGGGGAUGACGUCAAAUCAUCAUGCCCCUUAUGGGCAGGGCUACACACGUGCUACAAUGGCGUAAACAAAGGGAGGCAAGCCUGCGAGGGUGAGCAAAUCCCAAAAAUAACGUCUCAGUUCGGAUUGUAGUCUGCAACUCGACUACAUGAAGCUGGAAUCGCUAGUAAUCGCGAAUCAGAAUGUCGCGGUGAAUACGUUCCCGGGUCUUGCACA
rnacentral:rRNA from 1 species